UACGUAGGCAGCAAGCGUUGUUCGGAGUUACUGGGCGUAAAGGGUGCGUAGGCGGCUUUUUAAGUUUGGUGUGAAAUCUCCCGGCUCAACUGGGAGGGUGCGCCGAAUACUGAGAGGCUAGAGUGUGGGAGAGGAAAGUGGAAUUCCUGGUGUAGCGGUGAAAUGCGUAGAUAUCAGGAGGAACACCGGUGGUGUAAACGGCUUUCUGGACCAUAACUGACGCUGAGGCACGAAAGCGUGGGUAGCAAACGGG
rnacentral:rRNA from 1 species